GGCGUGCUUAACACAUGCAAGUCGAACGAGAAUCACUGGAAGGGGUUUUCGGGCAACGGAAGGUGAGGAAAGUGGCGGACGGGUGAGUAACGCGUGAGGAACCUGCCUUGGAGAGGGGGACAACAGCUGGAAACGGCUGCUAAUACCGCAUGAUGUAUUAGGGUCGCAUGGCCUUGAUGCCAAAGAUUUAUCGCUCUGAGAUGGCCUCGCGUCUGAUUAGCUGGUUGGUGGGGUAACGGCCUACCAAGGCGACGAUCAGUAGCCGGACUGAGAGGUUGAACGGCCACAUUGGGACUGAGAUACGGCCCAGACUCCUACGGGAGGCAGCAGUGGGGAAUAUUGGGCAAUGGGCGCAAGCCUGACCCAGCAACGCCGCGUGAAGGAAGAAGGCUUUCGGGUUGUAAACUUCUUUUAAGAGGGAAGAGCAGAAGACGGUACCUCUAGAAUAAGCCACGGCUAACUACGUGCCAGCAGCCGCGGUAAUACGUAGGUGGCAAGCGUUGUCCGGAUUUACUGGGUGUAAAGGGCGUGCAGCCGGGUCUGCAAGUCAGAUGUGAAAUCCAUGGGCUCAACCCAUGAACUGCAUUUGAAACUGUAGGUCUUGAGUACCGGAGGGGCAAUCGGAAUUCCUAGUGUAGCGGUGAAAUGC
rnacentral:rRNA from 1 species